rnacentral:lncRNA from 12 species
AUGUGUGUGAAGACAAUUUGUAAGUCUUUGGUAGUUUUUAUGAUUGCAAUAUUAAAAUAUAUUUUUGCUGUUUCAGAUGAUGGUGCCUGUCAAUUAACUGAACAACUGUGGACCACAAGUAAAGGAAGUAUGUGUCUGAAGUGUGGGUUCUGCCAAACAGUACUAAAUAUAACCAGCAAGUGGAUGAUAGUGCAGAGACGAUGAGAUUUAUGAGGAGACCUUUUGGACGUGGCCUCAAACAGGUGGUUGCCCGAAAAGGAGUCUGUGCGCAUCUUCUUUAGCUGGAGGAGCGAGGGGCUGGGAGGAGAUACACGGAGGCAUGCUGGCUGAGACUUGGUAUGGCUUGUCAGAUGUCUCUAUUUUUGUCUAGACUUCAAAAGCUAUUUCAUUGUACUUUGAGAAGAGCAGAAGGUCUUGGGUUCUGUGAUUGGUUAUUGUUUUGAAAAGGAAAGAAAAUUACCUUUCAUUUUCUCUCCAUCGCAUUAAAUCCCCAGUGGAGAUUCGAAGGAUGUUCCAAGUCAGUGCAACUCUGUCACAGAGCCUUUGAAUCCAUUACUUACGACCAAGGUUUUGUGAUGCUCUCAUCAUUGUAGGAAAAACUGCAAAUCGAAGCCUACAAAAGCAGUUUUGCCAAAAACGUUUCGAUGUUUACACUUGCUUUGAAUUCCUGAGCAAAAUCAGAUUUUACCUUUAUGGUAUUUAUGGGGAGGUAUUUCGAAGCCUGGGCUAAAUGAAUCCUUGCAUUUCCCUCCAAAGGAAUAACUAUUUAGAGUAGCGUUUCCUAUGAAAUUUUCAUGGUACAUCUUACUGUAAGAUUCAAAUUAUUAAGAAAGAGGGGGAGGAUAGCUAUGCGGUGUAUGCUGUGCCAGGCUCAGCUGGAGCCUGGAACACGACAAAGCCCAGCGUGUGGGUGUACGUCGUGGGAGGGGCGGACCGACAGAGCAGUCACAGUCUGGGCAGGCUGAGGACUACAGCAAGCAAUACAGAGUUCAAUGUCACGAAGAACUGAAAUUUAACUCUCAUUUACACAGAACUCCAAUAGAUGUUCCUAGUCAGGGUGGGAUGAUGGAUGCUCAACUUUCUACUCUCAACAGACUUUGUUAGUUGAGGGGUGAGGCCUGAGGGGUGAUCCUGAGAUCUAGGUGGAAGUACAGGCUCUUGCUGUUCUGGAUCCUUCCUCCUCCAGGUCCUCAGGGAUUUUACC